AUCUUUCAGGUCCAAAUCGUUUUCCAAAUUCUCUCUCCCAGAAAGUUAACAAUCCUUCUGACUGUGCCUUUCUCACCGCCAUCUUCCUCCUCGUCUACGC